CCCCGCCUCCCACACCGGUAGCGGCACCGGCGACGGUGGCUGCUCGGGACAUCUGCCCGCUGGCCGGGUCGGGCCAGGCCGACGCGACGCUGCGCGACGCUCGCUGCCCGGAGCUGACGGGGCUGACUGAGGGAGGGAGGGAAGGGGGAGAGGGAGGAGAGGAAAGGGGAUGGGGAGGAGGGAGGGAAGAAGGGAGGGUGGCCGAGGGUGGAGGGGGGGUGCUGUAGCCCCGCCUCUUUCCCCGCCCUUUCCUUCGGCCGCACGGUGCGUCAGCACGCCCCAAGCGGCGUAGUGGCGAGGAGGGAGUGACGACGUGGGGGGAAGCAGGUGAGUGCGUGCGCUCUCUCGUGUGCCCGCCCCUCCAAGUUACGCCUACUUGUCUUACGAGUAGGCCCCCUCAACCUGGUGGCCUCAAUGCGCAUGCGCCAUUUCCCGGGAGUUCUGGGCGCUCUCUGUCGUAGCAAGUUGUCGUAUCGAUCACUUUUCCUUUUUUGUUUCCCCAGCGCUUACCACAGUAGCAGGCGCUCAAUAAAUGAUUGCUUUCUAACAUCAGUUUCUUUAUCUGUAAAAUGGGGUUAGGUGUGUUGUGUGGGAAACAAGAGUGCGGAUUAUAAGAGAAAAAACUUGAGAAAGCUCAAAGCAUCACUACUACAAGAUCGAGGUGGUGUAUGUAUCCGACAAUGCAAUUAGGAAGCUCAGGAAAGAAAUUGGUGACUUUGGCCUACUUCUGGAUGAAUAGUGAUCAUCAGAAGAAAAAAAUUCUACUCCAGAUUAAAUUCUGAUAUAGUGAACCCUACUAUAAGUUUCAACUCAGUCUCUUGUAAACAUGUUGUUGGAUUCUGGUUCCUAAUACGUUCUGCGAUCCACUUCUGUUUUAAAGGCACUGACAGUACCAGGCUUUGGGGAUACAAAGACAAAUGAGCAGAAUCACAGAAGGGACCUCAGAAAGGUGUCUAAUCCGACCAUGCCCGGAAGAAGAAUCGCUGUACAGGUUACCCAUCAAGUCAUCAAACAAUGAUUCCAAGAGAUUACUGCUUUCAGAUUUGGUAGCUGCCUCAUGAGCUCCAGAGGUAUAGUCAUUGGUUUGGAUGCUGCCUGCUUAACAUUGGAAAGUGUUCCCUGUAACUAUAGCCUUUGUGGAGAAAAAGAUUACCUCUUCUAGGAGGACGAACCAGAAAAUACAAAGAAAAUGUCUGCCUCCCUCUGUUUGGGGUCAGGUCUCCUCAGGAAUGGAACCAAGUCUGAUCAAGCCCAGAACUGGAAUCCUUUGUGUCCAAGAUUCAAUGGAUCUCACACAUUCUGGAAGAUACCUUUAUUCACCCUUUUAUCCUUACACGUUGUCACCCACCUUCAUAUAUGUUCACGCACCCUUACAAGAUA